rnacentral:misc_RNA from 1 species
UUUCCGUAGGUGAACCUGCGGAAGGAUCAUUAUUGAAUCUUCAUCCGGGGCGUCUCGGCCCUCAGCACCGGUAGAAACGCAGUGCUGCGGGUGCCGCGCCUGCACUCGUCCAAACCAACCACCUGUGAACCUUACGGGAUGGCCCGGGUUAGCGCCCGUGGCCGUUCCGCUUGAUACCACCACUUAUAUAAGAAUGAACUGAAUGCGGUCUGACCGCUGGAUAACAAACUGAAACAACUUUCAACAACGGAUCUCUUGGCUCUC